CUGAGGCCCUCGGUCCUGACUCCCAGCCGCUCACGCCCUGCCGCACUUCCCCGGUGGCAGGUCAGAGCGGAUGGGGAUCAGGACCGAGGGAGAAGGCCCC
rnacentral:ncRNA from 1 species